CGACGAUGCGUAGGGGUUCUGAGAGGAAGGUCCCCCACACUGGUACUGAGACACGGACCAGACUCCUACGGGAGGCAGCAGUGAGGAAUAUUGGUCAAUGGCCGGGAGGCUGAACCAGCCAAGUCGCGUGAGGGAAGACGGCCCUACGGGUUGUAAACCUCUUUUGUCAGGGAGCAAGAGGCGGGUCGGGACCUGCUGUGAGAGUACCUGAAGAAAAAGCAUCGGCUAACUCCGUGCCAGCAGCCGCGGUAAUACGGAGGAUGCGAGCGUUAUCCGGAUUUAUUGGGUUUAAAGGGUGCGCAGGCGGAGGCACAAGUCAGCGGUAAAAUCGCGGGGCUCAACCCCGCUCCGCCGUUGAAACUGUGUCCCUUGAGUGCGCGAAGGGUAGGCGGAAUGCGUGGUGUAGCGGUGAAAUGCAUAGAUAUCACGCAGAACUCCGAUCGCGAAGGCAGCCUACCGGCGCGCGACUGACGCUCAUGCACGAAAGCGUGGGUAUCGAACAGGAUUAGAUACCCUGGUAGUCCACGCAGU
rnacentral:rRNA from 1 species